GGCUGUCGUCAGCUCGUGUCGUGAGAUGUUGGGUUAAGUCCCGCAACGAGCGCAAACCUAUGUCCUGUUGCCACUUCCGCGAAAGCGGGAAGCACUCUGGACAGACUGCCUCGCUUAAACGAGGAGGAAGGUGGGGAUGACGUCAAGUCAGUAUGGCCCUUACGGCCAGGGCUGCACACGUUACAAUGCCCGGCACAAAGGGAAGCGAGACCGCAAGGUGGAGCAAAUCCCCAAAAACCGGGCCCAGUUCAGAUUGUCGUCUGCAACUCGACGGCAUGAAGCUGGAAUCGCUAGUAAUGGCGCAUCAGCUACGGCGCCGUGAAUACGUUCCCAGGCCUUGUACACACCGCCCGUCACAUCAUGA
rnacentral:rRNA from 1 species